CAGCUCAAAAGAUGCAGGUUGAGUUGCUUGCUCUCUACAAGCUGCUGCCUUUGGCAAGUACAGGAUUACAUCUAAGGACUAGAGAUGACUCUGAUGUCUCCUACAGUUGUUCCUGCCUGCUAGCUUCCAGCUAAUACAGCAGAAUAAGGGGGGGAGAAGGUGUCUACUCCUUGGUUUUGAUGAGUGGAUAUGCCCAUGAAAGCAUAUGAUGAACAGAUGGUGGAAGAUAAACAGUCAGAGAUGAGGGGCUAGUUGGGUCCUUCAAUCCAAAGAAAUAAGAUGCAGAUGAUUUACUCUCUAUAAACAGAAGACAAAGUGAUCUCCAGAGAGAAGAAACAAUGGAAAUAAACUCACUGUAUUCUCAGGAAGCAAUCUAUCACAGAAGGUCAGCAGGCCUUUAUGUUUAAAGAAGAAAAUGAAAAGUCAUCUGUGGCUUACUGUGUCCAAAUUUAUUAUUUCCUUUGAAGGAUUCAAAAUAUUCUUGUCCAAUGGAAACUGCGGUCUACGUAACUUGUCUUGCAUGUUUCUGAAGAGUUAGGCU